GACCCAUAUAUAAACAGACCCCUGACAUCAGUUUUCAAACACCAAUCUAUCCAAGCCUUCUCUUCUUCUUCAAUUAGAGCUUGUUUAGUUCCUCGCUGCUCCAAUGGCCGAGAAGUUCAACAAUGAUUGGGAAGUCGUCCCCUUCAACCUCAACAUGGAGCCUGCGGAAGACCCCGACGCUCGUGCUCUCAUCCCGGCCAACACAGAGCGACAGCUAGAAGCCAUGCCAUUAUGCCAACACAGCUCCGCCCAAUCCUAUCAUGCUCAACCAGUUCUCAUCGCACCGCCACAACCCCUACUCCUCAAGGGAUCAUCAUCCA
rnacentral:lncRNA from 1 species